rnacentral:rRNA from 1 species
ACCCAACUUCACGGAAGGGUUGCACUUAUUAGAUACCGAACCAGCCCAAGCUCUGCUUGGUUUUUGUUGAUUCAUAGUAGUCUGGCGAAUCGCCUAUCGAGGCGAUGAGGCUAUCAAGUUUCUGACCUAUCAGCUUCCGACGGUAGGGUAUUGGCCUACCGUGGCUUUAACGGGUAACGGAGAAUUAGGGUUCGAUUCCGGAGAGGGAGCCUGAGAAACGGCUACCACAUCUAAGGAAGGCAGCAGGCGCGUAAAUUACCCAAUCCUGACUCAGGGAGGUAGUGACAAGAAAUAUCAAUAUAAGACUUUUAUGUCUUGUAAUUGGGAUGAGCGAAACAUAAACCGCUUCUCGAGUAUCAAUUGGAGGGCAAGUCUGGUGCCAGCAGCCGCGGUAAUUCCAGCUCCAAUAGCGUAUAUUAAAAUUGUUGCGGUUAAAACGCUCGUAGUUGGAUAUCUGCUAAGGGGUUCCGGUCCUUCCCAGUGAAGAAUACGCGGAACUCUUCUUGGCAUUUAUUCAGGGAAGGUGUUUGCACUUUGUUGUGUGUCACGUGAUCUGAAUUUUUACUUUGAGGAAAUGAGAGUGUUUCAAGCAGGCUUUCGCCGUGAAUAUGAUAGCAUGGAAUAAUAGCACAGGACCCCUUUCCAAAGCUGUUGGUUUUUGGAACGAGGUAAUCAGAAUAAGGAUAGUUGGGGGUAUUCG